UCAUUAUCCACAGUAGAACAGAUUCUGUACCAAUAUGGGCUGAAGUGCCACUCAGAAAGGAAGAAGCCAUUAAUCCAAAAGAAAUAUGAAAUUCCAGAUUAUGGUUUGCAGAUGAACACAAGGACAAAAUGACAGAUUAUGGCAUUUUUUUGGAGACAUGUCUUGAGGUCUGAUGAAACUAGAGCGGAACUGCUUGGCCAUAAUGAUCAUCAUUGCAUGAGGAGGAGCAGCAAAGAAUGGGGGUGGCAGCAUCAUACAAUAUAGAAUUUGUGAAUAGAUCUGACAAGGCGCGUGAGAGUGACGCAGCCAACAAACCUGAGAGAGACAAAGUUAUUGGGAGGAAUGGGUCAGAAGAAACUAUUGCAAAUUAUUGUGAGAAGUUUGUGGAAAGAAACCCAAAAGGUUUGACAUCAAGUUAGACAGCUUCUCUAAAGUUCAUACAUGUAUAUUUAAAUGUUUGUACAUUGAUAGUGAGUUGAAGUGAAGACAAAUUUCUUAAUCAUGAGCAUGAACUUGGCUAAUGAAGCAGAUUCUGAGGUGAUAUCGCUCUUAUAUGAUAUUUAAAUCAAUAGUCAAAUUCAAUACAAACUAAGAUACUUUAAAAACUCCAGAACAUUUUAAACUUAGUUUUGACAGAAACAAACAGUAAAAACCUAAUAAUAAUAAUAAUAAUAAUAACAAUAACAAUAACAAAAGUUCUUAUACAUUAUCUUUACAUACCUAAACUAUAAAGAUCUGCACACGUAACCUAUCAUUGGCAAGUUAAACUUUUAUUAAAGUAACAUAGUAUUUACAAACUAAUAGGAAUAUCUCAUUAUUCUGUGGACUUUAUUCAAGCACCAACAUUGACAAAAAAUAAUAACUUUAAAAGCAAUUUGAAUAAACCUUUUCUUCUCUAUAUAAGACUUGUUUUUAGGUUCAUCAGACUUUAUCAAGGAAAUUGAAUAAGUAAUUCAUGGCUUCCUGUUUACGACCCAACGUGGUAUUUAUCUUGAGCGGCGGAAAGACAAAAAAAUAGAUCUCCAGAGCUUAUUAAAUAAGAGAUGCAGCUAUGAUUAGAGCCUUGGGGUCACCACAAAUUUGACAGUACCUACAGUACAUGUCAAAUGAUUUUUGGAAGGGUUAGAUCUGGAAACAGUGUCAAAUGAACAGUGGCCCAAAAAUUCUCUUUCUGUGUGCUCAAACCUGAACCAGCAUAGGAGAAGGCCUCAAUAAAUGUGCUCAAAUUAACCACAGAGUUUCCUCAAUUUUUUUGAGAUUAUGUAAUUGUAUAAAAGAAAAAAAAUAAUAAUAAACUUAAGCCUGUGUUAAUGUCUGUGUGUACAAAAUCAAAAUCCAAAAUAUCAGAGUCCAGUAUUGCAGACAGAAUCCUGUGCUCAAAUUUCAUCUUAAAUUAAUUAUGCAAGUAAACAAUAAACCAGUCCCUGAAGUGACUGAAGUUGAAACAGUCUUUAGGAAUAUGUGAAUCAUUACUGAAAAAUACAAAUACAAAAUACUGAAAAGCAAACCUAUGUGUAAAGUGGGAUAGCUUAGGAGAUUAGAGCAAAUUCAGAGCUGCCUGUUAAGGCUCAAACUUGUGAGGGUAUUAGAGUUCACAUUUGAAUAGAGGUAGUGAUUCAAAGUGAUGCAAAUCAAACAGGCCUGAACAACUUUUUCUUCUCUCCACCCAUGUACUGUGGACUUAGGGUGAAAAAAAAUGUCAAAAGGAAGUGGGGGGUUAGAGGUGCCAAUGCUUGCAGCGAGAUGCAACUACAGCUUAGGAAGCCAAAUGAUUGAUCAACAGAGAGAAGUAGUUUUGUGGUCUGUUCUUACAGAAAGGAACACACAGAUUUUUUGUAAAACUCAGCUGACAAGAGGAAACUUGUCAUGUCUUUACUGUAUUUUCACUACAAAAAGUUCUCCUUAAACUUUUUCAAACAAUCAAUGUAAGCCAUGUAAGUAGGAGUUACUCUCCAAACACAAUCCAAACCAGGGUUAAUGAGUUAGCACACACAUUGUGACAUUUGUUGCACUCAGUGACUCAGUAACAGCUUUACUUGUAGAGGAAAGAAAGGAUGGUUUAAAACAGAGCUUCCUUAAGUACAUCCUCCUCAGACAUCAAACUAAAUAUGUAAAUAUAUUGGCUGUUGAUAUUAUUUGUGGUGUUAUCAAAAUACUGAAAUGUCAUCUGAUUUUCUAGUAUAAUAAGUGUUUCAUAUUAGUCAAUAAAUUGAUUAUUGAUUAGGUUUUUGUUAGAAUUAUUAGUUUUAUAUUACUAGUUGUUUUAUAUUUUAAGGUUUAGUGUUCUCACCCCAGAGAGGAGGAACUUGUUAAACUGUGUGCAAGACAUAAGUAACCUUUGCUUGAUCUUAAGCAUGUUUUUGUAGGUGUUUCUUUAGGGGGCCUUCCUGAGAUACUCCUCAGUUGCUUCUAAUUGUCUGUGUGUAGAAUUUAGUUUCUGUUCCCUUCCUUGUUAUCAGGGUAGCCCCCCUUCUUGUUAAGAUCACUCUCCCACUUCCCAUUCACUCCCUUUCUCUGCUAAUAAAAAGAAAAGUUCUGCAGCAGAAUGGCAGAACACAUGGUAAACACCUUGGAGAAGUGGUUUGCUAUGUUUUCUCCUUUUGCAAAAGACUUGAUUGAAAACUAAAACGUUGUCUGUGGUUCUCUUUUUAUGUAGGUUGACAAAAUACCUAUCAGUUUUUGCUUUAAAUAUCUAAAAUACUGCAGAACUGAUGAUGUGAUGCUUCCUGUUUGAUUCACAAGUUCCUCUGAAAGCUGCUGUACUUUGUUGUGGAAA